UCUGCAGAGCCACCUGCAUCUCCAGCCGUGUAUCCUCUGAUGCCUUGUUGUGGCUCCUUUGCUGACUGCCUCGAUGAUUAUGUGACCUUUGCCUGCCUGGUGACGGGGUAUUUCCCAGUGCCAGUGGAAAUCAAGUGGAAUAUUGAUCAAGGGACUGAAAGUAUGACCCACAGCUUUCCACCAAUUAAGCACAGCAACGGUCACCUUACCAGCAGCAGCCAGCUCAGCAUCCCUGCCAGGAAUGUGGAGAGAAACAGCUUCCAGUGCACGGUAGAACACAAUCCAACAAACACAACGACUUCCAAGAUGAUCCCUACAGAGGUGUGUAACAAGGAGCCCCAGGUCAGUUUGCUAGCCCCAGCCUGUGAGGAUGGCCCCGUACAGUAUCCUGUGGAGCUAGUUUGCUUCCUCCAGAACUUCAGACCCAACACAGCCACAGUGGAAUGGUUCGUGAAUGGAGUGAAGAAGAACCUUCCUGACACCAUCUACUCAUCUGCUAAGGGCACAGAUGGCUUGUACAUGGGCCAGAGUCGAAUGAACAUCUCCAUGGAAAGUUGGAAUAAAAGGGAUCUUUACACAUGCAAAGUGACCCACCCUGCAUGGGGCACGGACUUCAAGAUGUACAAUGCAACAAAGUGUGAAGAUUGCUGUGACCCACCCCCAGUGGAAGUCUUCCUCUUACCUCCUUCCUUGGAGGACCUCUACAUAGCUCAAAACACCACCAUCGCCUGUUUGGUCACCAACCUGGGGACAGACAGUAGCCUGGAUAUCUCCUGGAGCCGGGGGAGUGGAAGUGCCUUGGAUGUGGUGAUUGGGAAGCCAGUUCAGCAAGAAAAUGGCACCUACAGCAUGACCAGCAGCCUGCAGCUGUGCGCAGAGGAAUGGAAGUCUGGGGAGGAAUUCACCUGUACAGUGAAACAUCCGGACAUCCCGUCUGCUAUCAUCAAAUCCAUCCACAAGACCCAAGUGAUCAACGUACAAGCCCCUUCUGUCUACAUCUACCCUCCCUCUGCUGAUGAGCUGGCCCUGCAGGAAUCAGCCACCGUGACCUGUCUGGCCAAGGGCUUCCGCCCCAGUGACAUCCUGGUGACAUGGACCCAGCAGGACCGGCCUGUGUCCCAGGAAGCCUUCAUCAACAUUGGACCCUUCUGGGACCCUGUGCAGAAGGGGGAGAGCUACUUCAUCUACAGCAAGCUCAGCAUCCCAACAUCAGAGUGGCAGCGGGGAGACACGUUUUCCUGUGUGGUGGGCCAUGAAGGCCUUCCGAUGACCUUCAUCCACAGGAGUGUGGACAAAGUCUCUGGUAAACCCACUGCUGUCAACGUUUCUGUGGUUUUGUCUGACACUGCACUCACCUGCUACUGAGGAGACAGUACUGCAAGUCUUGUGUGUCUGUGGUGCCUUGUAGCUUGUGUGCAAAGCUGAGGGAGCUCUGUUGACCAAAGCUUGGCUGUAUGUGCCGCCUAUCUAAAUAAAAAUGCAAAUUGUU